rnacentral:sRNA from 1 species
AAUAGCUCGGUCAUCUCAAGGGUGGUCGGCAUUACACCCCGAGGAAGGGGGUGAUGCCUUUGACGGUUUUCGAAUCCUUAAUGUUCGCCAUCGCGUUCGCAGGAUUGAUCGUCUCCAUUUUGUCUCAUAACGACAAAUAAUCCACCCUUGAGUUAGCGGCUCACGGUGGAUUAUAGUUACGUCUAUUUGUGUGCCGACCUCUUUAAGAGACCGACUAUUGGGGCCGUUGGUGUUGCAUCACCAGCG